UGUGAAAGUAGGCCUAGAAAGUAAUAUAUUGGUCUUAUUCAUUUAAAUCUCUCAACAUACUUUAUUUCAACACUGUUGUUGACAGAAAAAGUAUACUGUCCUCCUUUCCCUAGCACAUAGAAUGGAAUGACACCAGCAUUGCUACAUUUCACCUAUUCAGAAAGAAUUGACAUUAGACAAAAAAAUAUAGAUUACACAGAUAGGAUUACAUUUUAGUGCUAAACAUUUACACCGACAUAAAUUAAAUAAUAAUUAUAAAGAGAUCAAUGUAUUGGAUAUAAGAGAUUUCUAUUUGGUAUUAAUUUAUUAACAAUUCAAACUAUAAAUUAGGUCCAACUCUUCUUUUGAAAAGGAAGUAAAAGUACAUUUUAGCUUUAAAAUUGGCCAAUGACAGGCAUUUCACAUUGAACCCCACCCUCUUUGCAGAAACGAAACAUUAAACUGCUUUAUGUUAUUAGAAAAAAAUCGAUUUGUUUUCUUGUUUUCCGUUUUUGGAAUAAAACGAAUAACGAGAAUACGGAAAUGCACCAGGUUGGUGACAGCUCCGUUAAAAUCGGAAAUGUAAACAAUGAAACACGUAGCCCACAGAAAAACAUGUUUUCUGCUAAUUCAUUUUUCGUUUCGACACAAUAAACAAUUUGACAUUGGAUUUUGGGACAUAACCGCUAUAAACCAAACUGUUUUGGUCGUUAUCUACUUAAAGAAAUACAUCGGAAUUAGCCAUUUGCACCUGGACCCUGCUGCCAUCAUCUCCGACUGGCAGUACACCGACGAGGGUAUGGACCAGAACAAGGAUCGGGACAUGGAUCAAGACCUGGACAAAAACGGCCAGCUCCUCCAGAUUAUUUACGAGAUGAGACCCAAUAUAACCAACUGAAGACAUUCAAGUGUCUGAAUUCCGAUCUUGUCUCUCCACACUUCAACUCAACAGAAACUCAGAAGAAAGACCUUAGCCCAACUGAUUGGUGAGUUAGGUACAUUAAAUACAAUGAACAAAGACAUAAACAAACAGUUAGUAACAAUAACCCUUCCUUUAUUAAUCAUUUACAAAUGAAUUAACUAACACUGUGUAGUAUAAUUUGUUUGUACUGUAUUCUGUUAAUGUUGAUACAGGACAUCCGUUCAUAUAGCUAGGUGUUUGUAUGAACAACAGGCUAAGUAAUAUAUACUGUUCAUACGUUAAUACAUUAUUAAAAACGUAGGCUAGAUAAUGAUAGUUUUAAUAAUGGUGAAGUAUCAGUUCUAAAUGGUUUAUAACUACUAGUCAUUAGUUAGUGAUUGUUAAGGUAGGAUAAUACGUUACUUAGGGGAACACAAAAUAAUUAAAGGGAUAGUUUGGCCAAGAUUCAUAUUUGGGUAAAAGUCCACUUACCCAUAGUUGUUCCAGAUUCAUAUUUGGGUAGAAGUCCGCUUAUCCAAUGGUUACUCAGUGGGCCGUGAGUAUGAACUAAUGAUAUGGUGUUAGUUAGAAUACUAGUGAUAGCACAUAAUCCUCCAUUCAAGAAUGACAGGAUUAAAUACAAUUAUAGGCUAUAAAGACAAUUUGUAAGACAACCACUCUGGACACAUGGACAUAAAUAAGGAAGAGGUGAGUAAUAUAUUUUCAGUGGAAGUGGAAACCGGUAAGUCAAAUGCAAGAAAUAAACAGUCACAUCAAAGUGCUUAUACAGCAGUAAUGUUGUACCUAGGUGUAAAAUAUCUUCAUGUUCAGGUCGUGUAGUGCAGUCUAGUAAAAGAAUUAUACAAUUGCAUAUUACCUUCAUGUUAACAUGAAUAGGACAUGGCUGAGCAAGCUAGCAAAGUGCUAACCGAAACCAACAAGCACAUGACUGCAGCCAGAAUACAGCUAACAGGAGCCAGCUAAUAACCAACCAAAGCAAGCUAACAACCGGAAUUAGCUAAUGGCUAACCCUUACAGUGCAACAACUGCAAAGUUCCUAAACAAUACACUUACAAAAUUAAAUUAUAUUAAUCCUAACAAUAUUGUCAGGGGUGUUUUCAAAUAUAUAUAUAUUUUUACAGUGAGUAACCGAAAUACAGUACAGGAUUUUUUUUUUCAAUGGAAUCCACCACCAUCAGGGCAUUUUACAUUCAACAUGGGUUGUAAAUUGACUAUGCUUUUCCAACCCUCUACAUACACUCAAGACAGGCAAGUUAUCAAACUGCCACUAUCCAGCCUGCAUUGUUCACAUUAUCAAUAAAGGUUAGUGCACUGUAGUCAUAUUAACAAUUUGGAUUAUCUUAUGAAUAAUGUACUUAAGUUAGCCUAAUGAUCAUGCAAACCACUAGCUACAUGAAUGCAUGUCCUGCAUCAACAUUAAAAAACUACAGUAGCAAGUGUAUGUUCCUGCAAAAAAUGACAUGAGUUAACGUCUUGUCUCAACAUGAACAAAUCCCAGUACACAUUGUUAGUUAAUGUAUUUGUAAAUCAUUAUUAAAGCAGGGGUUAUCAUUAUUAAUGGUUUGUUUGUCUUUGUUCAUCAUUCGUUCAUGUUAACUUACGUAUUCAUUAAUGCUAGUUCAUGUACCCUUAUCGGAAAGUGUUACCUAGUGAAUAUAGUACAGAAAAGGCUUUUCAUCCAUUUUACAAUUUUGGUAACAACUCAAAACUAUUGCUAAAAUGUGUGCAACCAAACUUAGUAUAUGGGUUCAGGCCUAUGGCAGAAAGUCCUCCAAAAUGUUUUAAACUGAUCGACCUGAUGGUGGCGCUAUAAUCAACAAAUGCAUGGAGCUCCAUAGGAAAUGAAUGGAAGUCUAUGGAGAAUGAAUGGGGGCCAGUGGAGAAUGAAUGGGACUUGUUAGGGAAAUGCCAUCUAUAAGAAAUCUUAAUGGAAGUAAAUACAGAGACAAAAUAAUCUUUGCACAAUUAGUGGUUUAAUUUACUUGCAAGGAGAGAUGCGUCGAAAUCUUAUAGAAGAAACCUGUAAGGAAUCUCUGAGGAAAAUACAUGAACAGGCAGUAUUUAUUAUAGCUAAAAGGGGUGUGGUCAGAUACUCCCCGGCUGUCUUAUGUCAACAAUGCAUAGGUAUUACCCAAAGGGCAGGCUGUCCCCACACCUUAUCCCAAGGAAAUAAAUACACUGUAGGAUACCUAUUCAACUCAGAAGGGACACACACCAUCUGGACAAAGAACAGUAACACUGAUGGUUUAAACAGAUUGACGGAGAACCCAAUGAUCUACUGAUACCAUUCAAUGAUGACCAUUAACAAAUAACAGAUCCCCCUCUCCUACAUUCCCUUUCUAAUCUAAACAUAAAGACUCAGUACUUUUAACUAGUAACUCAUUUAUACAUGACUAAGUAAUUUCUAGACAUUUCCCUGACAGAGUCAAUGGUGAUUCAAUGGGAGUCUAUGGGGAAUGAAUGGAGGUCAACUGGGAAUAAAUGGAGGUCAAUGGGGAAUGCAUGGUGUCAACAG
rnacentral:lncRNA from 1 species